GAUGAAGAACGUAGCGAAAUGCGAUACGUAAUGUGAAUUGCAAAUUCAGUGAAUCAUCGAGUCUUUGAACGCACAUUGCGCCCUCUGGUAUUCCGGAGGGCAUGCCUGUCCGAGCGUCAUUGCUGCCCUCAAGCACGGCUUGUGUGUUGGGCCCCGUCCUCCUUCCGGGGGACGGGUCCGAAAGGCAGCGGCGGCACCGCGUCCGGUCCUCAAGCGUAUGGGGCUUUGUCACUCGCUUUGUAGGCCUGGCCGGCGCUUGCCGAUCAACCAAACUUUUUAUCAGGUUGACCUCGGAUCAGGUAGGGAUACCCGCUGAACUUAAGCAUAUCAAUAAGCGGAGGA
rnacentral:misc_RNA from 1 species